rnacentral:rRNA from 1 species
UUUAACGGCCGCGGUACUCUGACCGUGCGAAGGUAGCAUAAUCACUUGUUCUUUAAAUGGGGACUUGUAUCAACGGCAUCACGAGGGCCAUACUGUCUCCUUUUUCCAAUCAGUGAAACUGAUCUUCCCGUGAAGAAGCGGGAAUUAACCUAUAAGACGAGAAGACCCCAUGGAGCUUUAAACCCAACAACAAGUCUAAAUAAAUAUGCCCUAAAAAUUAAUGACACCUGAACUGUUGGUUUUAGGUUGGGGUGACCGCGGAGUAUAAACUAACCUCCACGACGAACGGGACUAAACCCUUAUCUACGAGCCACCGCUCUAAGAAUCAGCACACUGACUUCUAAUGAUCCGAUAUUCGAUCAACGAACCAAGUUACCCUGGGGAUAACAGCGCUAUCCAUUUCAAGAGCUCCUAUCGACAAAUGGGUUUACGACCUCGAUGUUGGAUCAGGGUAUCCUAGUGGUGCAGCCGCUACUAAAGGUUUGUUUGUUCAACAAUUAAAACCCUAC